AUGCCUUCGCCUGCCUGCGGUGUGCUGGGGGCGUGGUCUGGCCAUGGCGGUGCUCCUGGUGGUGAGUCCUGCUCCCCUUGUUCCCCUCCCUCCUUGUCGUCGCCGUCGGGAUCUGCGGUGGGGCUGCACUCGUUGUCAGCAGCAGCGAGGGUUUCCUUGCUAACCCUAGAUUGGGUUCCUGGCCAGACGGCUUGUGGAUCCCUGGUGUGGGCUUCCCCAUCUCCUCCUAGGCCUGUUGGGCCGCCCCCCGCUUUCCUCGUCCAUUUUCUUCCCCCCACUACCUGUCCUGGGCCAUGGAUCAUGUUUGGCCCAACCCCAGCCCCCCCAACCUGGCCCUGCCUGCUCGGGAGGCCUCGGCCUGGCUUGUUCUGGCUACUUAUGGGUCCGAAAGGGAUCCUCCCCCUUCCUUCCCUCUCGUUUGCGGUCGUGCUCACCAUAGACCGCUCGCGCAGCUCAUAUAGCGAGGCUGUCUCUGGCAAAAAGCGGCGGUGCAAGGGCUCUAUCAAGAUGGCUGCGAAUCUGGAGCUCGAGGCGGAGCUCAAAUCCAAGCUCGAGGCGAAUCAAGCGGUGCACAUGCAGGUGGCCUGCGACCGCGAGGCUUGGGCGACUGUCCUGAGUGGUUGCAGCGCGGCAAGUGUGCCCGCCUUUCGACAGCCUUGGCGGCGGCGGUGGCGGGCUCGGAGGCACCUAGAUCUGGCGGUUCUGGCACGGAUCCAUGGGAGGCCGCAGCGGCGGCGGGCGGGGUCUCCGGCUUUGUCCCCCUCCUCCUCCCCCUUGCGGGCCGCUGGCCCUGCUCGUGGCGCUGCCCAUGCGUCGGGGGAAGCCUCGGGCUUUGGUGCUCGUCCUCUGCCGUGCGGUGGCUCGGGCUCGGGCUCCUUCGGUCGUUACCCUCCCCCCUCAUGUCCUGGUUCGUCUUCGGCUGGCCAGGGCGAUGGCAUCCUCCAUCCUCCUCCACCCUCUUCCGCUCACCCGCUUCCUUUAGCCCAACCCCCCAACCCCAAGCCCAACCUUACCUUCUUCGCUUGCCAUCAGCCAGGACAUUUCCAAUCUCGAUGCUUCAAUCUUCCCUUCUGCCUCAUCUGCACGGAGGAGGGGCACCUCACUGUGGAGUGCCAAAAUCGCCGCAAACCUACUUCUUUUAUGCAUUAUGGUCUUGGUCUGCCAGGGUGUCCCUUCUUCGCGCUCGAUAGUGAGACCCCUCAGGUGGUAGUUGCCCCUGCCCUAUCCAACGCCACCAUUAUCUCUGUCAAAGACCAAAAGAUAUCUCCUCGGGAUCUUCUCAAUGAGCUUAAACUAUGGGACAAUGGUGGUUGGGACUAG
rnacentral:rRNA from 1 species